UUGGAACAUGCAUCGAUAUUUUCUUCCUGCUUUCAGUAUUAAGUGACUCAUUGAUGGGCUGAGUUCCCUUGAUUGUUUGAUUAGUUGGAAAAGUUAAUGAUGUGAGGUGUCAUGCUAGGAUAGAAAAGGUGGUUUUAGAAGUUUUUUUAGACAGCUUUUGAAAGGUUAAGAUGUGAGCUUACCAAGAGUAAGAUGUAGGAUGUGACAAAUCACUCCAGUGUCUUUGUAAGGAAAAUCCCAAAAGGGGUCAUGAAGAAUUGGAUACAACUAAAAAACUACUAAACAACAACAAUAACAAAAAACAAUAUAAACCAAACAAGGAGAAUACUGACAUAGAACAAGGAAACCACUGAAAGGAAGAUCCCAUUUCUUGUCUGGAUGGAUAAUGUCAAUUCAGAAGUGAAAUGCAAAACAGGUUUUCCUAAGCUUAGAAGACACUAAGACUUUCCUUAAUACUUAGAUGGUUCAGAAAACUAAUAGCUCAAGACUGUUACAAUUAUUUUCUUACUGCCUGAGUGCCAAGUAGCCACUUGGAGUUGGAGGGGCUCUGAAAUGCCUUACUGGCUGAUCUCAAAAGGAACUUCAUUCAGUUGAAACAACUCAAGGACUAUCCUUGUUGAAUAUCAUUCUCUUGGUAUGACUAAAUAAAUCUUUUGUUUUUUUUUGUUGAA